AUGAACGCUAGCGACAGGCUUAACACAUGCAAGUCGAGGGGCAGCGGGGGUAGCAAUACCCGCCGGCGACCGGCGCACGGGUGAGUAACGCGUAUGCAACUUACCUAUCAGAGGGGGAUAACCCGGCGAAAGUCGGACUAAUACCGCAUGAAGCAGGGGCCCCGCAUGGGGAUAUUUGCUAAAGAUUCAUCGCUGAUAGAUAGGCAUGCGUUCCAUUAGGCAGUUGGCGGGGUAACGGCCCACCAAACCGACGAUGGAUAGGGGUUCUGAGAGGAAGGUCCCCCACAUUGGUACUGAGACACGGACCAAACUCCUACGGGAGGCAGCAGUGAGGAAUAUUGGUCAAUGGGCGUAAGCCUGAACCAGCCAAGUCGCGUGAGGGAUGAAGGUUCUAUGGAUCGUAAACCUCUUUUAUAAGGGAAUAAAGUGUGGGACGUGUCCCGUUUUGUAUGUACCUUAUGAAUAAGGAUCGGCUAACUCCGUGCCAGCAGCCGCGGUAAUACGGAGGAUCCGAGCGUUAUCCGGAUUUAUUGGGUUUAAAGGGUGCGUAGGCGGCCUUUUAAGUCAGCGGUGAAAGUCUGUGGCUCAACCAUAGAAUUGCCGUUGAAACUGGGGGGCUUGAGUAUGUUUGAGGCAGGCGGAAUGCGUGGUGUAGCGGUGAAAUGCAUAGAUAUCACGCAGAACCCCGAUUGCGAAGGCAGCCUGCCAAGCCAUGACUGACGCUGAUGCACGAAAGCGUGGGGAUCAAACAGGAUUAGAUACCCUGGUAGUCCACGCAGUAAACGAUGAUCACUAGCUGUUUGCGAUACACUGUAAGCGGCACAGCGAAAGCGUUAAGUGAUCCACCUGGGGAGUACGCCGGCAACGGUGAAACUCAAAGGAAUUGACGGGGGCCCGCACAAGCGGAGGAACAUGUGGUUUAAUUCGAUGAUACGCGAGGAACCUUACCCGGGUUUGAACGCAUUCGGACCGAGGUGGAAACACCUUUUCUAGCAAUAGCCGUUUGCGAGGUGCUGCAUGGUUGUCGUCAGCUCGUGCCGUGAGGUGUCGGCUUAAGUGCCAUAACGAGCGCAACCCUUGCCACUAGUUACUAACAGGUAAAGCUGAGGACUCUGGUGGGACUGCCAGCGUAAGCUGCGAGGAAGGCGGGGAUGACGUCAAAUCAGCACGGCCCUUACAUCCGGGGCGACACACGUGUUACAAUGGCGUGGACAAAGGGAGGCCACCUGGCGACAGGGAGCGAAUCCCCAAACCACGUCUCAGUUCGGAUCGGAGUCUGCAACCCGACUCCGUGAAGCUGGAUUCGCUAGUAAUCGCGCAUCAGCCAUGGUGCGGUGAAUACGUUCCCGGGCCUUGUACACACCGCCCGUCAAGCCAUGGGAGCCGGGGGUACCUGAAGUCCGUAACCGCGAGGAUCGGCCUAGGGUAAAACUGGUGACUGGGGCU
rnacentral:rRNA from 1 species